UCGUGCUAGAUGGGGAGUUAGCGGUGCCCUGUAACCCGGAACCCGCUAUACCGGGGUCGAAUUCCCACCGGCGGGUCGGAAGUUCGGACGAUACGCCCGGCCGGAGACGCCCAAGCCGCGAGGCCAAAGGGCCGGAUCCCGCGCAACUGCCGGCCGCCCAACCCCGUCAGGACCGGAAGGUAGCAGCGGUAAGCGGCAGCGGAGUGUGCCGCGGGGCUGUCUGACCCCAGUUGAGGGCCGGGAUUGAUCCCCGGACGGACGGAACAACGGUGGGUGCACGA
rnacentral:SRP_RNA from 1 species